rnacentral:rRNA from 1 species
CUACGGGGGGCAGCAGUGAGGAAUUUUGCGCAAUGGGCGAAAGCCUGAUGCAGCAACGCCGCGUGAGUGAUGAAGGCCCUCGGGUCGUAAAGCUCUGUCAAGUGGGAAGAACCUGGUUGGUAUUAAUACUGCCAAUCACUGACGGUACCACUGAAGGAAGCACCGGCUAACUCCGUGCCAGCAGCCGCGGUAAUACGGAGGGUGCAAGCGUUAUUCGGAAUUAUUGGGCGUAAAGGGCGCGUAGACGGCCUGGUAAGUCAGAUGUGAAAGCCCGGGGCUUAACCCCGGAAGUGCAUUUGAUACUGUCAGGCUUGAGUAUGGGAGAGGGAAGUGGAAUUCCUGGUGUAGAGGUGAAAUUCGUAGAUAUCAGGAGGAACACCGGUGGCGAAGGCGACUUCCUGGACCAAUACUGACGCUGAGGCGCGAAGGCGUGGGGAGCAAACAGGAUUAGAUACCCGUGUAGUC